rnacentral:misc_RNA from 1 species
GAUGAAGAACGCAGCGAAAUGCGAUAAGUAAUGUGAAUUGCAGAAUUCAGUGAAUCAUCGAAUCUUUGAACGCACCUUGCGCCCGCCAGUAUUCUGGCGGGCAUGCCUGUUCGAGCGUCAUUACAACCCUCAGGCCCCCGGGCCUGGCGUUGGGGAUCGGCGGAAGCCCCCUGCGGGCACAACGCCGUCCCCCAAAUACAGUGGCGGUCCCGCCGCAGCUUCCAUUGCGUAGUAGCUAACACCUCGCAACUGGAGAGCGGCGCGGCCACGCCGUAAAACACCCAACUUCUGAAUGUUGACCUCGAAUCAGGUAGGAAUACCCGCUGAACUUAAGCAUAUCAAUAAGCGGAGGA